CUGCUCAGGACGAACGCUGGCGGCGUGCUAAUACAUGCAAGUCGAACGAACUCUGGUAUUGAUUGGUGCUUGCAUCAUGAUUUACAUUUGAGUGAGUGGCGAACUGGUGAGUAACACGUGGGAAACCUGCCCAGAAGCGGGGGAUAACACCUGGAAACAGAUGCUAAUACCGCAUAACAACUUGGACCGCAUGGUCCGAGCUUGAAAGAUGGCUUCGGCUAUCACUUUUGGAUGGUCCCGCGGCGUAUUAGCUAGAUGGUGGGGUAACGGCUCACCAUGGCAAUGAUACGUAGCCGACCUGAGAGGGUAAUCGGCCACAUUGGGACUGAGACACGGCCCAAACUCCUACGGGAGGCAGCAGUAGGGAAUCUUCCACAAUGGACGAAAGUCUGAUGGAGCAACGCCGCGUGAGUGAAGAAGGGUUUCGGCUCGUAAAACUCUGUUGUUAAAGAAGAACAUAUCUGAGAGUAACUGUUCAGGUAUUGACGGUAUUUAACCAGAAAGCCACGGCUAACUACGUGCCAGCAGCCGCGGUAAUACGUAGGUGGCAAGCGUUGUCCGGAUUUAUUGGGCGUAAAGCGAGCGCAGGCGGUUUUUUAAGUCUGAUGUGAAAGCCUUCGGCUCAACCGAAGAAGUGCAUCGGAAACUGGGAAACUUGAGUGCAGAAGAGGACAGUGGAACUCCAUGUGUAGCGGUGAAAUGCGUAGAUAUAUGGAAGAACACCAGUGGCGAAGGCGGCUGUCUGGUCUGUAACUGACGCUGAGGCUCGAAAGUAUGGGUAGCAAACAGGAUUAGAUACCCUGGUAGUCCAUACCGUAAACGAUGAAUGCUAAGUGUUGGAGGGUUUCCGCCCUUCAGUGCUGCAGCUAACGCAUUAAGCAUUCCGCCUGGGGAGUACGGCCGCAAGGCUGAAACUCAAAGGAAUUGACGGGGGCCCGCACAAGCGGUGGAGCAUGUGGUUUAAUUCGAAGCUACGCGAAGAACCUUACCAGGUCUUGACAUACUAUGCAAAUCUAAGAGAUUAGACGUUCCCUUCGGGGACAUGGAUACAGGUGGUGCAUGGUUGUCGUCAGCUCGUGUCGUGAGAUGUUGGGUUAAGUCCCGCAACGAGCGCAACCCUUAUUAUCAGUUGCCAGCAUUAAGUUGGGCACUCUGGUGAGACUGCCGGUGACAAACCGGAGGAAGGUGGGGAUGACGUCAAAUCAUCAUGCCCCUUAUGACCUGGGCUACACACGUGCUACAAUGGAUGGUACAACGAGUUGCGAACUCGCGAGAGUAAGCUAAUCUCUUAAAGCCAUUCUCAGUUCGGAUUGUAGGCUGCAACUCGCCUACAUGAAGUCGGAAUCGCUAGUAAUCGCGGAUCAGCAUGCCGCGGUGAAUACGUUCCCGGGCCUUGUACACACCGCCCGUCACACCAUGAGAGUUUGUAACACCCAAAGUCGGUGGGGUAACCUUUUAGGAACCAGCCGCCUAAGGUGGGACAGAUGAUUAGGGUGAAGUCGUAACAAGGUAACCG
rnacentral:rRNA from 2 species